UGCGUAACGCGUAUGCAAUCUACCUUAUACUAAGGGAUAGCCCAGAGAAAUUUGGAUUAAUACCUUAUAGAUAAUAAAAAAGGCAUCUUUUUAAUUAUAAAGAUUUAUUGGUAUAAGAUGAGCAUGCGUCCCAUUAGUUAGUUGGUAAGGUAACGGCUUACCAAGACGAUGAUGGGUAGGGGUCCUGAGAGGGAGAUCCCCCACACUGGUACUGAGACACGGACCAGACUCCUACGGGAGGCAGCAGUGAGGAAUAUUGGUCAAUGGGCGCAAGCCUGAACCAGCCAUGCCGCGUGCAGGAUGACGCAUCUAUGGUGUGUAAACUGCUUUUGUACAGGAAGAAACAUCCCGACGAGUCGGGACUUGACGGUACUGUAAGAAUAAGGAUCGGCUAACUCCGUGCCAGCAGCCGCGGUAAUACGGAGGAUCCAAGCGUUAUCCGGAAUCAUUGGGUUUAAAGGGUCCGUAGGCGGCUUAAUAAGUCAGCGGUGAAAGUUUUUGGCUUAACCAAAAAAUUGCCAUUGAUACUGUUAGGCUUGAAUUUUUGUGAAGUAACUAGAAUAUGUAGUGUAGCGGUGAAAUGCUUAGAUAUUACAUGGAAUACCAAUUGCGAAGGCAGGUUACUAACAAACGAUUGACGCUGAUGGACGAAAGCGUGGGUAGCGAACAGGAUUAGAUA
rnacentral:rRNA from 1 species